rnacentral:tRNA from 1 species
GCCUGGGUGGCUCAGUCAGUUAAGCAUCUGACUUUGGCUCAGGUCAUGAUCUCGUUGUCCAUGGGUUAAAUCCCCAUGUCAGGCU